CUUUCUGUCACUGUGGGAGGGACCUGACAGGUCUACAACAUUUCCACAUUCUUCACAUUCAUCUGGUGUUUAGGAUACCAGUUUGCCCUAGGCUUAGGACUCUGGGCCUUGCUAUGGCAAAAUUAAACACUGAUGCACGCACAGGAGGUAGCUAGCAGACCGCACAUGUUCUGUCCACCCCCCUGUGAGGCCCUCCAUGCAGAGCAUGGCCCAUAGGCAAGAUGGUGGCCUUGCACAUUUGAAUACAGUUGAUGAUCAGCUCUUCUAUGUACAGUCAGUGUGGCACUGACCUACGUCUGGAAAACAAAUACACGUUGAACAUUGUCUUCCUGCUACCUUUGUUGGAUCCUGAAAUGAAGCUCAACUAUUGUUUGUGUACCUCAGACUGCAGUUUAAGGUGCGUGUUCAUUUUGGAUGGUAGAGAGUAUUUAAAAAUACAACUUUGCUAAGCCUUCCAAAGGUUUCUGUUACAUCAGUAUAAAAAAUGAAGUUCUGCUUGCUAAAAGCUUGCUUCCUCUAAGAUAACUACCCAUACAUUGCCUAGCUCAGAUAAAAUACCCUCAUUGUAGCUCAAAGCUAUUACUAUAUUAGAAGUGGACUUCCUAUCUGAGUCUUGCAUGAAAGGGCUAGUAACAUCAAAAUAGUUGUAACUGAAUGAGCAGCAGCUGGGCUAUACAUUGGUUGCUUCUUCAGAGAUGGCUUUUUAAAAUUUCUCCUUUAAAU
rnacentral:lncRNA from 1 species